GGUCUGUCUCUGGUCCUGGAGAUGUGGUGUGGUGAGGUCUGUCUCUGGUCCUGGAGAUGGGGUGUGGUGAGGUCUGUCUCUGGUCCUGGAGAUGGGGUGUGGUGAGGUCUGUCUCUGGUCCUGGAGAUGGGGUGUGGUGAGGUCUGUCUCUGGUCCUGGAGAUGGGGUGUGGUGAGGUCUGUCUCUGGUCCUGGAGAUGUGGUGUGGUGAGGUCUGUCUCUGGUCCUGGAGAUGUGGUGUGGUGAGGUCUGUCUCUGGUCCUGGAGAUGUGGUGAGGUCUGUCUCUGGUCCUGGAGAUGUGGUGAGGUCUGUCUCUGGUCCUGGAGAUGUGGUGAGGUCUGUCUCUGGUCCUGGAGAUGUGGUGUGGUGAGGUCUGUCUCUGGUCCUGGAGAUGGGGUGUGGUGAGGUCUGUCUCUGGUCCUGGAGAUGGGGUGUGGUGAGGUCUGUCUCUGGUUCUGGAGAUGUGGUGAGGUCUGUCUCUGGUCCUGGAGAUGGGGUGUGGUGAGGUCUGUCUCUGGUCCUGGAGAUGGGGUGUGGUGAGGUCUGUCUCUGGUCCUGGAGAUGUGGUGUGGUGAGGUCUGUCUCUGGUCCUGGAGAUGUGGUGUGGUGAGGUCUGUCUCUGGUUCUGGAGAUGUGGUGUGGUGAGGUCUGUCUCUGGUCCUGGAGAUGUGGUGUGGUGAGGUCUGUCUCUGGUUCUGGAGAUGUGGUGUGGUGAGGUCUGUCUCUGGUCCUGGAGAUGUGGUGAGGUCUGUCUCUGGUCCUGGAGAUGUGGUGAGGUCUGUCUCUGGUUCUGGAGAUGUGGUGUGGUGAGGUCUGUCUCUGGUCCUGGAGAUGUGGUGAGGUCUGUCUCUGGUCCUGGAGAUGUGGUGAGGUCUGUCUCUGGUUCUGGAGAUGUGGUGUGGUGAGGUCUGUCUCUGGUUCUGGAGAUGUGGUGUGGUGAGGUCUGUCUCUGGUCCUGGAGAUGUGGUGUGGUGAGGUCUGUCUCUGGUCCUGGAGAUGUGGUGUGGUGAGGUCUGUCUCUGGUUCUGGAGAUGUGGUGUGGUGAGGUCUGUCUCUGGUUCUGGAGAUGUGGUGUGGUGAGGUCUGUCUCUGGUCCUGGAGAUGGGGUGUGGUGAGGUCUGGUCCUGGAGAUGGGGUGUGGUGAGGUCUGGUCCUGGAGAUGGGGUGAGGUGAGGUCUGUCUCUGGUUCUGGAGAUGUGGUGAGGUGAGGUCUGUCUCUGGUUCUGGAGAUGUGGUGAGGUGAGGUCUGUCUCUGGUUCUGGAGAUGUGGUGAGGUGAGGUCUGUCUCUGGUUCUGGAGAUGUGGUGAGGUGAGGUCUGUCUCUGGUUCUGGAGAUGGGGUGAGGUGAGGUCUGUCUCUGGUUCUGGAGAUGUGGUGAGGUGAGGUCUGUCUCUGGUUCUGGAGAUGUGGUGAGGUGAGGUCUGUCUCUGGUUCUGGAGAUGUGGUGAGGUGAGGUCUGUCUCUGGUUCUGGAGAUGUGGUGAGGUGAGGUCUGUCUCUGGUUCUGGAGAUGUGG